GAUGAACGCUGUCGGCGUGCCUAAUACAUGCAAGUCGAGCGAAGCGGGGACGGGUGAGUAACACGUCGAUAACCUCCUAUAAGACUGGGAUAACUUCGGGAAACCGGAGCUAAACCGGAUCCUUACAGAUGGAUGUGCGCUGCAUUAGCUAGUUGGUAAGGUAACGGCUUACCAAGGCAACGAUGCAUAGCCGAGCUGAGCGGGUGAGCGGCCAAACUGGAACUGAGACACGGUCCAGACUCCUAAGGGAGGAAGAAGUAGGGAAGUGUCGGCAAUGGGCGAAAGCCUGACGGAGCAACGCCGCGUGAGUGAUGAAGGUCUUCGGAUCGUAAAACUCUGUUAUUAGGGAAGCGGUACCUAAACAGAAAGCCACGGCUAACUACGUGCCAGCAGCCGCGGUAAUAC
rnacentral:rRNA from 1 species